UUUGUAACUAAGGGAGAGCCACUGAUUGAUGAGUCCUGAUUUGAGUGGCUCAGCCCUGAAUUCAGAGCCUGAGAAGUCCCAGGGAAUGAUCACAGCUGCAGAAGGAUUUUGGCCAUGUGUCUGCUGUGCCACAAGUGAUUCCCUGCAUCAACACAAGCCCAGAAAUGCACCUGGAACAGUACAUAAAACCUACCAAAUGUCAGCACUUGUAACUAUCAGCUCUCAAUAAACACAAUCUACAGGGAGCAUGAGUCAUGUU
rnacentral:lncRNA from 12 species